rnacentral:rRNA from 1 species
CGGUGCCCAGAAGCCCGCCGGGAAGGUGCCUCCGCCCUCGGGCGGAGAGUUAUAGCCCGGCGCGGCGUCGCGCGCCGCGUGACCGUGGAUCGGGGCCGCCCGCACGCCGCCGCCGUUCUCCGCCGGACGUUCGACAGGGACGGACUGGAUCCAGUGCGUUCCGACCGCGUCCGGCGCCAGUCGGCGGCCGGCCGGCGGGUGCUCAGGGUCGGCGACCAUUCGGUCGGCAUUCCACCCGACCCGUCUUGAAACACGGACCAAGGAGUCUAACAUGUGCGCGAGUCACGGGGCCGUACGAAACCCAGAGGCGCAAUGAAGGUGAAGGCCGCGCUCGACGCGGCCCAGGUGGGAUGCCGUCCGCUCCGGCGGGCGGCCGCACCACCGGCCCGUCUCGACCGUCGCGUCGGUGAGGCGGAGCGAGAGCGUACACGUUGGGACCCGAAAGAUGGUGAACUAUGCCUGGAUAGGAUGAAGCCAGAGGAAACUCUGGUGGAGGUCCGUAGCGAUUCUGACGUGCAAAUCGAUCGUCAA